GUAGGGUGCGAGCGUUAAUCGAAAUUACUGGGCGUAAAGCGUGCGCAGGCGGUUAUGUAAGACAGGUGUGAAAUCCCCGGGCUUAACCUGGGAACUGCGCUUGUGACUGCAUAACUCGAGUGUGGCAGAGGGGGGUGGAAUUCCACGUGUAGCAGUGAAAUGCGUAGAGAUGUGGAGGAACACCGAUGGCGAAGGCAGCCCCCUGGGUCAACACUGACGCUCAUGCACGAAAGCGUGGGGAGCAAACAGGAUUAGAUACCCUGGUAGUCCACGCCCUAAACGAUGCGAACUAGGUGUUGGGGAAGGAGACUUUCUUAGUACCGCAGUAACGCGUGAAGUUCGCCGCCUGGGGAGUACGGUCGCAAGAUUA
rnacentral:rRNA from 1 species